GGAUGUGAGGGCCAUCCGGCUGUGAGAUCUGACACCCCACUGAUCUCCGGGGUCGAUUUGGCUGAUCUGGCUGGCUAGGCGGGUGUCCCCUUCCUCCCUCACGGCUCCAUAUGUGUCCCUCCCAUAGUUAUGCGUUCGGUCAAGAACAACCGCUCCCAUUAAAGAGGGCCAUUCUUCGUUCUUCCUUCAAGGGUAUUCAAGUAGCUGCACUUCCGGGCUAGAACCUCCAAACAAACUCUCGGAUCAUUGAUUUCAGAUUCUUUGUGUACUGGAGCCACUGGUCCAAAAAGAAAUUUUAAUUUGGUUUGGAAAUAAACAUUA
rfam:Tupaia chinensis contig36309, whole genome shotgun sequence.